rnacentral:rRNA from 1 species
UACGGAGGGUGCAAGCGUUAUCCGGAUUCACUGGGUUUAAAGGGUGCGUAGGAGGGUAGGUAAGUCAGUGGUGAAAUCUUCGAGCUUAACUCGGAAACUGCCGUUGAUACUAUCUAUCUUGAAUACCGUGGAGGUGAGCGGAAUAUGUCAUGUAGCGGUGAAAUGCUUAGAUAUGUUACAGAACACCAAUUGCGAAGGCAGCUAACUAUGCGAUGAUUGACGCUGAGGCACGAAAGCGUGGGGAGCAAACAGG